rnacentral:rRNA from 1 species
CGGCAGGCCUACACAUGCAAGUCGAACGGUAACAGGAAGAGCUUGCUCUUCGCUGACGAGUGGCGCACGGGUGCGUAACGCGUAUACAAUCUGCCUCUAACUAAGGGAUAGCCCAGAGAAAUUUGGAUUAAUACCUUAUAUUAUUGUGAUUUGGCAUCUUAUUACAAUUAAAACUCCGGUGGUUAGAGAUGAGUAUGCGUCCUAUUAGCUAGUUGGUAAGGUAACGGCUUACCAAGGCAACGAUAGGUAGGGGGCCUGAAAGGGUGAUCCCCCACACUGGUACUGAGACACGGACCAGACUCCUACGGGAGGCAGCAGUGAGGAAUAUUGCGCAAUGGAGGAAACUCUGACGCAGCCAUGCCGCGUGCAGGAAGAAUGCCCUAUGGGUUGUAAACUGCUUUUAUAUAGGAAGAAACUCCGAUACGUGUAUCGGCUUGACGGUACUAUAUGAAUAAGGACCGGCUAA